UACGAAGGGGGCUAGCGUUGUUCGGAAUUACUGGGCGUAAAGGGCGCGUAGGCGGUGUGUCAAGUCAGGCGUGAAAGCCCCGGGCUCAACCUGGGAACUGCGCUUGAGACUGGCACGCUAGAGUUCGGGAGAGGAUGGUGGAAUUCCCAGUGUAGAGGUGAAAUUCGUAGAUAUUGGGAAGAACACCGAUGGCGAAGGCAGCCAUCUGGACCGACACUGACGCUGAGGCGCGAAAGCGUGGGGAGCGAACAGG
rnacentral:rRNA from 1 species